rnacentral:lncRNA from 7 species
GGUGAGAACUGUCAUAGUGGUGCCUUAAAGGGGUAAAUAUCUUCUGCUGUGCUCCUCCCACUAUGCGGAUGACCUGACCUGGAUUUCUGUUGUGCUGGUAACACAUCUGCAUUUCUCUAUGAAAUAACGUCUUAGCAGAAUGGCCAGAUUUCAAACCCCAGAGGAGUCCCUGUGUUGGUUAUGGAAACAGGAAAUACAGCAAAGCACUGCAAGAUAUGAGGAUAACAACGAGCUGUGCUAGGGCAGCCACCUGGCAGAAGAAUGGGACCUUGCUGCUUGGACGUGGGAUGCUUGCAAGCACGUUCCUCUCAAAUAAGAGGUUACGAUGAAGAGUUUAGAGCUGUUGGUUGGAUGCAGUCAGGUGUAUUUGUGUCACCUAUGAGACCACCCAAUCAUGGAAUGACAAGCCUUGGAAGGGACCUUAAUGCCCAUCCAGUCCUAACCCUUGCCAUGGGCUGGUUGCUCCCCACGGGGUCUUGAACAUCACUAUGCAAUGAGAGGACAAGGAUCUACAAUUACAUUUUAAGCAGAAGUCAUGAGUUUUGUGUCUGUAGCUGCUUGAGUUAUC